rnacentral:rRNA from 1 species
UACGUAGGGUGCAAGCGUUAAUCGGAAUUACUGGGCGUAAAGCGUGCGCAGGCCGCUAUGUAAGACAGAUGUGAAAUCCCCGGGCUUAACCUGGGAACUGCAUUUGUGACUGCAUGGCUAGAGUACGGCAGAGGGGGAUGGAAUUCCGCGUGUAGCAGUGAAAUGCGUAGAUAUGCGGAGGAACACCGAUGGCGAAGGCAAUCCCCUGGGCCUGUACUGACGCUCAUGCACGAAAGCGUGGGGAGCAAACAGG